GCGUCAGAGAGUGUAUGACAGAGAUAGAGAGAGAGAGUAUGAAAUAGCGAAAAUAGUAUAGAUAUAUAUGUAACUAACACGAACAGCUAAUAGUAGAGCAAGAUCACUAUUUUAUAUAGUUUUACGCCACUAAAUGGCAAUAAUUAACUUCACUACAGGCGACUAAAAGGAUACUAUCGAGCAAGAGAUAGCGUGUGUGAGCAAGUGGGAGCUAUAUAUAGAUAUCGGAGCGCUGCCAGAAAGUAUUUAUUAAACAAUAGAGCUAGCAUAAAGCUGUAUAGCGUAGUUAGAAGGAAAGAAAGACGAAGUUUGUGCUGAAAACGAAUUUUCUAAGCUAAAAUAACGAGAAGGCGCGCUUGCAGUAAAAGAGGGAGGCAACGCUGGAUAGAGAUCAAUUGGAGCGUAUGCUGGCGUAAGUCUAGCAAUAAAUCAUGGCAUUGUAUAACAUUGUGUUGCAAUAAACAUAUGUUUGUAUUGGUAAGCAGUUUCGUUGGCUCUUGUGUUAUUGUGAAGGCCAGAGAGGAGUCGGAUUAAGCUUGUGCAUAAAAGCUGAACGAACACAUUAAAGCAAUAUGUAAUUUAUUUAUAAUUGAUAAUUAAUAAAAUUUUUUUCAGGCCUCUUAGUGUCAUGGCGCUUGUGGCGUUGUAUUAAAUACGCUGUGUGUGGGGGAAGGUCAAGUUAAAUAAAUUAGUUGGUUGAGUCUACGAAUAUUAUAUUU